UCUGGUAUUGAUUGGUGCUUGCAUCAUGAUUUACAUUUGAGUGAGUGGCGAACUGGUGAGUAACACGUGGGAAACCUGCCCAGAAGCGGGGGAUAACACCUGGAAACAGAUGCUAAUACCGCAUAACAACUUGGACCGCAUGGUCCGAGUUUGAAAGAUGGCUUCGGCUAUCACUUUUGGAUGGUCCCGCGGCGUAUUAGCUAGAUGGUGGGGUAACGGCUCACCAUGGCAAUGAUACGUAGCCGACCUGAGAGGGUAAUCGGCCACAUUGGGACUGAGACACGGCCCAAACUCCUACGGGAGGCAGCAGUAGGGAAUCUUCCACAAUGGACGAAAGUCUGAUGGAGCAACGCCGCGUGAGUGAAGAAGGGUUUCGGCUCGUAAAACUCUGUUGUUAAAGAAGAACAUAUCUGAGAGUAACUGUUCAGGUAUUGACGGUAUUUAACCAGAAAGCCACGGCUAACUACGUGCCAGCAGCCGCGGUAAUACGUAGGUGGCAAGCGUUGUCCGGAUUUAUUGGGCGUAAAGCGAGCGCAGGCGGUUUUUUAAGUCUGAUGUGAAAGCCUUCGGCUCAACCGAAGAAGUGCAUCGGAAACUGGGAAACUUGAGUGCAGAAGAGGACAGUGGAACUCCAUGUGUAGCGGUGAAAUGCGUAGAUAUAUGGAAGAACACCAGUGGCGAAGGCGGCUGUCUGGUCUGUAACUGACGCUGAGGCUCGAAAGUAUGGGUAGCAAACAGGAUUAGAUACCCUGGUAGUCCAUACCGUAAACGAUGAAUGCUAAGUGUUGGAGGGUUUCCGCCCUUCAGUGCUGCAGCUAACGCAUUAAGCAUUCCGCCUGGGGAGUACGGCCGCAAGGCUGAAACUCAAAGGAAUUGACGGGGGCCCGCACAAGCGGUGGAGCAUGUGGUUUAAUUCGAAGCUACGCGAAGAACCUUACCAGGUCUUGACAUACUAUGCAAAUCUAAGAGAUUAGACGUUCCCUUCGGGGACAUGGAUACAGGUGGUGCAUGGUUGUCGUCAGCUCGUGUCGUGAGAUGUUGGGUUAAGUCCCGCAACGAGCGCAACCCUUAUUAUCAGUUGCCAGCAUUAAGUUGGGCACUCUGGUGAGACUGCCGGUGACAAACCGGAGGAAGGUGGGGAUGACGUCAAAUCAUCAUGCCCCUUAUGACCUGGGCUACACACGUGCUACAAUGGAUGGUACAACGAGUUGCGAACUCGCGAGAGUAAGCUAAUCUCUUAAAGCCAUUCUCAGUUCGGAUUGUAGGCUGCAACUCGCCUACAUGAAGUCGGAAUCGCUAGUAAUCGCGGAUCAGCAUGCCGCGGUGAAUACGUUCCCGGGCCUUGUACACACCGCCCGUCA
rnacentral:rRNA from 2 species